GAUGAACGCUGGCGGCGUGCCUAAUACAUGCAAGUCGAGCGAACGGACGAGAAGCUUGCUCCUCUGAUGUUAGCGGCGGACGGGUGAGUAACACGUGGAUAACCUACCUAUAAGACUGGGAUAACUUCGGGAAACCGGAGCUAAUACCGGAUAAUAUUUUGAACCGCAUGGUUCAAAAGUGAAAGACGGUUUUGCUGUCACUUAUAGAUGGAUCCGCGCUGCAUUAGCUAGUUGGUAAGGUAACGGCUUACCAAGGCGACGAUGCGUAGCCGACCUGAGAGGGUGAUCGGCCACACUGGAACUGAGACACGGUCCAGACUCCUACGGGAGGCAGCAGUAGGGAAUCUUCCGCAAUGGGCGAAAGCCUGACGGAGCAACGCCGCGUGAGUGAUGAAGGUCUUCGGAUCGUAAAACUCUGUUAUUAGGGAAGAACAUAUGUGUAAGUAACUAUGCACGUCUUGACGGUACCUAAUCAGAAAGCCACGGCUAACUACGUG
rnacentral:rRNA from 1 species